UCUAAUACCGGAUAACACUUCCCUCCUCCUGGAGGGUGGUUAAAAGCUCCGGCGGUGAAGGAUGAGCCCGCGGCCUAUCAGCUUGUUGGUAAGGUAAUGGCUCACCAAGGCGACGACGGG
rnacentral:rRNA from 1 species